UCCGUAGGUGAACCUGCGGAAGGAUCAUUAAAGAUUCGUCCCUCGGGACAACCUCAUCAGCUGUGCGCUCCGGCUGCACGCUGUUGAACCUCACACACCCGUGCACCAUUCGGUUGCGAUCGGUCCGCAAGGUCGAACGCUUCCGCUUUUACAUAUCACAACUCAGUCUAGAAUGUCAAAAACAAUAACUAUAAACAACUUUUAACAACGGAUCUCUUGGCUCUCGCAUCGAUGAAGAACGCAGCGAAAUGCGAUAAGUAAUGUGAAUUGCAGAAUUCAGUGAAUCAUCGAAUCUUUGAACGCAACUUGCGCUCCUUGGUAUUCCAUGGAGCAUGCCUGUUUGAGUGUCACGUAAACCCUCACCCUUGUGAUGUAAAAGUCGCGAUGCGGUGGACUUGGACCGUGCCGUAAUUGGCUCGUCCUGAAAUGCAUUAGCUUGUGCUCGUUAGAGUGCUCGGCGUGGUGUGAUAAUUAUCUGCGCCGUCGCCUUAGGCCUCUUCUGUGUGCGCUGCUUCUAAUCGGUCCUCUUUGGGGACAACGGUAACAUUAAGGCUUUGGGCCUCAAAUCAGGGGUAGGGGACUACCCGGGCUGGAACUUAAGG
rnacentral:rRNA from 1 species